UGAGGAACAUGACCUUCGGCGGGGGAUAGCCGGCCCAACGGCCGGGUAAUACCGCGUACGACCACAUGGGGACAUCCCUGAGUGGUGAAAGCAGCAAUGCGCCGAUGGAGUGCCUAGCGGCCUAUCAGCUAGUUGGUGAGGUAACGGCUCACCAAGGCAAUGACGGGUAGCUGGUCUGAGAGGAUGGCCAGCCACAGUUGGGACUGAGACACGGCCCAGAUCCCGUACGGGG
rnacentral:rRNA from 1 species